UAGGGAAUCUUCGGCAAUGGGGGGAACCCUGACCGAGCAACGCCGCGCGAGUGAAGAAGGUUUUCGGAUCGUAUAGCUCUGUUGCUACGGAAGAACGAGUGUGAGAAUGGAAAGUUCAUACUGUGACGGUACUUAACCAGAAAGGGACGGCUAACUGCGUGCCAGCAGCCGCGGUAAUACGUAGGUCCCGAGCGUUGUCCGGAUUUAUUGGGCGUAAAGCGAGCGCAGGCGGUUAGAUAAGUCUGAAGUUAAAGGCAGUGGCUCAACCAUUGUAGGCUUUGGAAACUGUUUAACUUGAGUGCAGAAGGGGAGAGUGGAAUUCCAUGUGUAGCGGUGAAAUGCGUAGAUAUAUGGAGGAACACCGGUGGCGAAAGCGGCUCUCUGGUCUGUAACUGACGCUGAGGCUCGAAAGCGUGGGGAGCGAACAGG
rnacentral:rRNA from 1 species